UACGUAGGCAGCAAGCGUUGUUCGGAGUUACUGGGCGUAAAGGGUGUGUAGGCGGCUUCGUAAGUUCGGUGUGAAAUCUCCCGGCUCAACUGGGAGGGUGCGCCGGAAACUGCGGAGCUGGAGCGCAGGAGAGGAAAGCAGAAUUCCUGGUGUAGCGGUGAAAUGCGUAGAUAUCAGGAGGAAUACCGGUGGUGAAGGCGGCUUUCUGGACUGCUGCUGACGCUGAUACACGAAAGCGUGGGGAGCAAAC
rnacentral:rRNA from 1 species